AUUGAACGCUGGCGGCAUGCUUUACACAUGCAAGUCGAACGGUAACAGGGUGCUCGCACCGCUGACGAGUGGCGAACGGGUGAGUAAUGCGUCGGAACGUGCCGAGUAGUGGGGGAUAACGCAGCGAAAGUUGUGCUAAUACCGCAUACGUACUGAGGUAGAAAGUGGGGGACCUUCGGGCCUCACGCUAUUCGAGCGGCCGACGUCUGAUUAGCUAGUAGGUGAGGUAAAGGCUCACCUAGGCGACGAUCAGUAGCGGGUCUGAGAGGAUGAUCCGCCACACUGGGACUGAGACACGGCCCAGACUCGUACGGGAGGCAGCAGUGGGGAAUUUUGGACAAUGGGGGCAACCCUGAUCCAGCAAUGCCGCGUGUGUGAAGAAGGCCUUCGGGUUGUAAAGCACUUUUGGCGGGAACGAAAGGGCCUGGGCUAAUACCCUGGGUUGAUGACGGUACCCGCAGAAUAAGCACCGGCUAACUACGUGCCAGCAGCCGCAGUAAUAC
rnacentral:rRNA from 1 species